rnacentral:rRNA from 1 species
CCCUUAGAUGUUCUGGGCCGCACGCGUGCUACACUGAGUGGAUCAGCGGGUCAGGUUGCGCGAAAGUGUUUCCUAAUCUUGAAAUCCGCGCGUGAUGGGGAUUGACGGUUGCAAUUUUCCGUCAUGAACGAGGAAUACCUUGUAAGCGCGGGUCAUCAUCCCGCGCUGAAUACGUCCCUGCCCUUUGUACACACCGCCCGUCGCUCCUACCGAUUGAGUGGUCCGGUGAGGCUUUGGGAUCUGAGCAAAAAGAGCGUUUCGCUCGUUUGGCUCGGAAAACUCAGUCGAACCUUAUCAUUUAGAGGAAGGAGAAGUCGUAACA